rnacentral:rRNA from 1 species
UACGGAGGGUGCAAGCGUUGUUCGGAAUUACUGGGCGUAAAGCGCGCGUAGGCGGUUUGCUAAGUCAGAUGUGAAAGCCCAUGGCUCAACCAUGGACGUGCAUUUGAAACUGGCGGACUUGAGUAUUGGAGGGGGUGGUGGAAUUCCCGGUGUAGAGGUGAAAUUCGUAGAUAUCGGGAGGAAUACCGGUGGCGAAGGCGACCACCUGGCCAAAUACUGACGCUCAUGUGCGAAAGCGUGGGGAGCAAACAGG